GAUGAACGCUGGCGGCGUGCCUAAUACAUGCAAGUCGAGCGAACAGAUGAGGAGCUUGCUCCUCUGACGUUAGCGGCGGACGGGUGAGUAACACGUGGAUAACCUACCUAUAAGACUGGGAUAACUUCGGGAAACCGGAGCUAAUACCGGAUAAUAUAUUGAACCGCAUGGUUCAAUAGUGAAAGACGGUUUUGCUGUCACUUAUAGAUGGAUCCGCGCCGCAUUAGCUAGUUGGUAAGGUAACGGCCUACCAAGGCAACGAUGCGUAGCCGACCUGAGAGGGUGAUCGGCCACACUGGAACUGAGACACGGUCCAGACUCCUACGGGAGGCAGCAGUAGGGAAUCUUCCGCAAUGGGCGAAAGCUUGACGGAGCAACGCCGCGUGAGUGAUGAAGGUCUUCGGAUCGUAAAACUCUGUUAUUAGGGAAGAACAAAUGUGUAAGUAACUAUGCACGUCUUGACGGUACCUAAUCAGAAAGCCACGGCUAACUACGU
rnacentral:rRNA from 1 species